GACGAACGCUGGCGGCGUGCCUAAUACAUGCCAGUAGAACGCACAGUUUAUACCGUAGCUUGCUACACCAUAGACUGUGAGUUGCGAACGGGUGAGUAACGCGUAGGUAACCUGCCUGGUAGCGGGGGAUAACUAUUGGAAACGAUAGCUAAUACCGCAUAAUAUUAAUUAUUGCAUGAUAAUUGAUUGAAAGAUGCAACUGCAUCACUACCAGAUGGACCUGCGUUGUAUUAGCUAGUAGGUGGGGUAACGGCUCACCUAGGCGACGAUACAUAGACGAACGGAGAGGGGGAUCGGCCAGACUGGGACGGAGACAAGGCACAGACUCCUACGGGAGGCAGCAGUAGGGAAACUUCGGCAAUGGACGAAAGUCUGACCGAGCAACGCCGCGUGAGUGAAGAAGGUUUUCGGAUCGUAAAGCUCUGUUGUAAGAGAAGAACGGGUGUGAGAGUGGAAAGUUCACACUGUGACGGUAUCUUACCAGAAAGGGACGGCUAACUACGUG
rnacentral:rRNA from 1 species